rnacentral:rRNA from 1 species
GGCCUGGCUGGCCGGUCGGCCUUUCGGUCUGCACUGGCCUGGCCGGGUCUUUCCUUCUGGCGAACCGAUAUGCGCUUAACUGCGUGUGCCGGGGAACCAGGACUUUUACCUUGAAAAAAUUAGAGUGUUUAAAGCAGGCAUAAGCUUGAAUACAUUAGCAUGGAAUAAUGGAAUAGGACUUUGGUUCUAUUUUGUUGGUUUCUAGGACCGAAGUA